AAAAAAGUAAGCCUAUGCUUACUUUUAUACAGUCAACCUUAGUUACUUGAUUUUUCCAUAGAAUGAAAUUUUUUCUGUUUUCCUUUUAGCUUCAUAUGUAAUUUCUGAGAUAUAUAAUGAGAAAUGUAAAUACUCCAGUAAUCAUCUCCAAACAUCACAGCUUCUGCCAAAAGGAUUAGCAUAUCCGUUAUCCUGCCUUACAGGGUGUACCUCUACUGUGAUUCCACCUGGACAUUCAGACAUAACUGAGCAAUUUGGGGAUUAUUAAUGAGACAAAACUGAAAAACAUCUAUUUACAUAGAGAGAGAGAAUCCUCUGAGGAGAGACCUAUUCUUGAGGCUUUGAGAUCCCAUGGGCUCAUGAAACAACUGAAAGAGAACAUCUCCGCCCAGCAAUAGAAGAAACUACCAAACUCUGAAGUGGAACCACGUUAUACCAGUGCAUGCUACAUCAAAAGGUGGAAUGAGAAUGACCGCUUUUCUGGCAGUGUGGAGACAAACGUUAGAAAGAAAAUGCUGGAUCUGGGUAGCAUGAAGCAGUGACGGUGUGCCCCACACCCAGUGAGCAGCGGGAACCCCCUCUAUGACUUGAGGAGUUGUCAUUAAAGGAUAAACCGCUCAUCUCAAACCAGAGGCAAUUAAGUGACAGAGGGUUCUAGAUCUGAUGACUCCCAGCCUUUGGCAGUGGCCACAGCAAUAAAAACAGCUAUGCCAUGCAGAAUUGUC